rnacentral:rRNA from 1 species
AUUGAACGCUGGCGGCAUGCCUUACACAUGCAAGUCGAACGGCAGCACGGGGCAACCUGGUGGCGAGUGGCGAACGGGUGAGUAAUGCAUCGGAACGUACCUUUCAGUGGGGGAUAACGUAGCGAAAGUUAAUAAUACCGCAUUUUCUGUUAGCAUGAAAGCAGGGGAUCGCAAGACCUUGCGCUGAUUGAGCGGGCGAUGUCAGAUUAGCUAGUUGGUGAGGUAAAGGCUAACCAAGGCGACGAUCUGUAGCGGGUCUGAGAGGAUGAUCCGCCACACUGGAACUGAGACACGGUCCAGACUCCUACGGGAGGCAGCAGUGGGGAAUUUUGGACAAUGGGGGCAACCCUGAUCCAGCCAUGCCGCGUGAGUGAAGAAGGCCUUCGGGUUGUAAAGCUCUUUCGGCCGGGAAGAAAUCGCACGGGCUAAUACCCUGUGUGGAUGACGGUACCGGAAUAAGAAGCACCGGCUAACUACGUGCCAGCAGCCGCGGUAAUAC